rnacentral:lncRNA from 1 species
GGAUGAGAUGAGGGAGUCAUGGAAAGAAGGAGAACCAGAGAGAUGGAUGUGAGAUGGGGGAUGGAUGUGAACCAGCAGAUGGCAGGAAUAAAGAAUGGCUCCACGACAUUCGUCAAAGUUUGGAAGCCGUUUCUUUGGCUGAGCUUUGGCGCUCAGCGAUGUGACUAAUGGGGGGCCCUGGAGGCGUUGAGAGGGUCAAGCAUCGUUUGUUACUGACAGCUGAGGCGAUGAGGAGCAAAAGCACCAGCGACAGCCUCCGCUGACAGCCUGACGUGGUGGGAAAACACUGCCUCAGCAGCAGGGCUGGGAGACGGUGGGAGUGAAGACAGGAAAGAAAGGGAGCAAAGUAAUGUGAGAGAAAGAGAGAGGGAGAAAGUCCACCAUGGAGGAGAGGAAACGGUGAUAGUGAGUGAGCGAUGCCCAUCGGCGGUGCCUGUGCCCUCCUCAGAGUGCCAGAGCGGGAUGACGCUGCCACUCUGCAUCAGCCUUAUGUAGUAUUCAUAGCAGCAGGUCCUUCCAACACAAUUUGUGACCUCCAC